rnacentral:rRNA from 1 species
CAGUAGCCGCGGGAAAACGGAGGGUGCAAGCGUUAAUCGGAAUUACUGGGCGUAAAGCGCACGCAGGCGGUCUGUCAAGUCAGAUGUGAAAUCCCCGGGCUUAACCUGGGAACUGCAUUUGAAACUGGCAGGCUAGAGUCUUGUAGAGGGGGGUAGAAUUCCAGGUGUAGCGGUGAAAUGCGUAGAGAUCUGGAGGAAUACCGGUGGCGAAGGCGGCCCCCUGGACAAAGACUGACGCUCAGGUGCGAAAGCGUGGGGAGCAAACAGGAUUAGAUACCCCAGUAGUCCCUGUCUCUUAUAA